CUUUUUACUGGUAAAAAGCUUCCUUUUCUUUUAUUUAUUUAUUAAAUGUGAUUUCGGGGGUAGCAGUGUCAUUAGGAUACAAUAUGAUGCAUUUGCAUCUUCCAUAAGUCUCUCAAUUAUUUGUGAAGUACAUUGAAUUUACCAUAGAAUAUCAGAACAAUAUUCUUCCUUCAGUUAUGUAACUUGGUCAAAUAUUGCCCACAGCAACCCUUUUCUCUAAGUUGCAGAUGUCACCAUUCACAGGUCAACUUAUUCAAUAAACACCGUUAACCCCGAGUUACAUUGAAAUCGUCUUCCAGGGAGAAACAAUAUGAGUAAGGAUUCAUAGUUCAGGUGCAUUCCCUCAUCAGUAAGAACUGAGCGAGUGCGGAAGAACUUUAUAUGGGUUAAGUAUUCCGUUGGGGUCCAGCAACUUCUUGAUCGAAGCCAUCACUUGCACGGUUUCAUGCGACUUGCUGUAAAAAAUCUCAUUGGCUUUCAUAAGUCCUAGGCCAUGCUCUGCACUUAUACUGCCACGGUGUUUAGAUGUCCACUCGUAGACAUAGGGUUCAACCUGUGCCAGAAUCAUAUCGUCAUAUUGUGGGGCUGAAAUAUUAAGAUGCAAAUUGCCGUCUCCCAGAUGGCCAUAUCCAACCACUUUGGCCUUUUGAGCUAACCUCACUCGCAUUUCCUCUACAAGAUUGUACAUAUUUUCAACAGGCAAUGACAGAUCAUAUUUGUAUAUAGGCCCAGCUCUCAUCAAUGCUUCUGGUAUACCCUCACGUAUACGCCAAAAAGAUGAAGCUUGGUUUAUGUCUUGUGCAAGAACUCCAUCAGAAAUUAAACCAGAUUCCAUUGAGCGAAGUAGAAAUGCCUCAAGCUUCUCUUUGUCAUAAGAUUCGUCACUGCUUGUUGUCUCAAUCAGAACAUAAAAGUUGUGCACUGAGGGAGGCAAUGGAUUCCGAACACCUUCUAAAUGGUUUAGAACCAAAUCCAUUGCCUCACUAUCCCAAAAUUCAAAAGCAGACAGAAUCUCUCCAAGUUUCCUCUUUGCUUCCAAUAGCAGUCUCUGGCAGCUGAGAUAAUCUUUGCAUGCAAUAAAAGCUAUAUUCACUGAUGAUAGCUUUGGGGGGGUAAGUAUGGACACCUUAGUUACAAUUCCCAAGGACCCUUCACUUCCUAUAAACAAAUGCUUCAAGUCAUAACCAGUAUUAUCUUUCCGUAAAGUCCCAAGCAUGUCAAGCACAUUACCAUUUGCUAGAACAGCCUCAAGACCAAGUACAUUCCCGUGCAGUGAACCAUGACGAAUGAGGCGCAAACCACCAGCAUUAGUUGAAACAUUUCCACCAAUUUGGCAGCUUCCUUUUGCACCUAAGUCCAGUGGCAUAAUAAAUCCUUGGUUAUCCAGGAAAGAUAUCAGAUUUUCCAAUAUGCAUCCAGCUUCACAAACAAGCAUACCACUAACCUUGUCAAAAUCUACAAUGUUAUUCAUUGAACUCAUACUGAUAAUCACCUCGUCAAAAACUGGCACACUACCACCCACAAGCCCAGUAUUUCCACCUUGGGGAACCACAGCCAGAUGCCUAGAAUUACAAUACUUAAGAAUUUGAGAGACCUGGUCAGUGGUCGUAGGUAGGAGAAGAAGCCUGCUUGAACCUUUGUAUUUAUGCAUCCAAUCUGCAUUUACAAACUCCAACCUAUCUUCAUCCUGAACGACAUUUUUUUCACCCAACACACCCUUAAAAUAAGUUACAUCAUCAGAAUUCAAGGUCGCAAACGACGGAUUUCUCUGAAUUUUAGUCCCAGCCGAGCCAAAACUUCUAAACUGAAGUGCGCACAUCAUCCCUCCAAGGCCUCGUCCCAAAGGAGGCCAGAAAGUCUGUUUAUAAUCCCUAGAGAAGCUCGCACGAGUCAACAAGUCCGACUUCUGUAAUUGGAAAAGUGGUAUGCAGCGUUGGCCAUUAUCACUGAAGUGAUGCGUAAAGACUGAAGCGGAGCGGAGAGUGGAGUGAUCGGAGACUGAUCGAUGAUUAAAAAGUGAUUUGAAGGAGUGGCUGAAGAGGCGACGAGUUGCUCUGCACUUCUCCAUCAUCACGAUGGCUUUUGGAAUCAGAGUUAAGAGUUGUAGCUUGUACUACGCAAUAGCAUUUGGGUAGGUG
rnacentral:misc_RNA from 1 species